GACGAACGCUGGCGGCGUGCUUAACACAUGCCAGUCGAGCGGUAAGGCUCCUUCGGGAGUCCACGAGCGGCGAACGGGUGAGUAACACGUGAGUAAUCUGCCCUUCACUUCGGGAUAACCACCGGAAACGGUGGCUAAUACCGAAUACGACCAGUCUUCGCAUGAGGUGCUGGUGGAAAGUCUUUUCGGUGAAGGAUGUGCUCGCGGCCUAUCAGCUUGUUGGUGGGGUAAUGGCCUACCAAGGCUUCGACGGGUAGCCGGCCUGAGAGGGUGACCGGCCACACUGGGACUGAGACACGGCCCAGACUCCUACGGGAGGCAGCAGUGGGGAAUAUUGGACAAUGGGCGAAAGCCUGAUCCAGCAACGCCGCGUGAGGGAUGACGGCCUUCGGGUUGUAAACCUCUUUCAGUACCGACGAAGCGCCCUGUCGGGUGGUGACGGUAGGUACAGAAGAAGGACCGGCCAACUACGUG
rnacentral:rRNA from 1 species